rnacentral:tRNA from 1 species
GCGCGGAUGGUGGAACUGGUAGACACACUAUCUUGAGGUGGUAGCGGGGCGACCCAUGGGAGUUCGAGUCUCCCUCCGCGCACCA